rnacentral:rRNA from 1 species
UACGUAGGGUGCAAGCGUUAAUCGGAAUUACUGGGCGUAAAGCGUGCGUAGGUGGUUGUUCAAGUCUGUCGUGAAAGCCCUGGGCUCAACCUGGGAAUUGCUUCUAAAACUGGCGAGCUAGAGUAUGGUAGAGGGUGGUGGAAUUUCCUGUAUAGCGGUGAAAUGCGUAGAUAUAGGAAGGAACAUCAGUGGCGAAGGCGACUUUCUGGACUGUAACUGACGCUGAGGCACGAAAGACGUGGGGAGGCGAACAGGAUUAGAUACCCCUCGUA